GAUUGACAAGGGUGAGGCCGAAGUCCCAUCCCUGCAGGCUGCAGGUUCCAUCACAUACCUUCCCUGGAUUUAGGGCACAUCUGCCCCUUUUACCCCACUAACACCACCUCGUACUCCAUGACCUCAUUCCAUUGCUCUUUUCCCCUGCCCAAAAACAACACAAAGACAAAUAUAUGAAACAAACCAAACAAGUACACAGAAAGAAAAAAUCUCCUUUCUUAGUUCCCUUCCAUCCCUGGCUUGCUCUGAUUCUCCCACCCUUUACCAAAAUUCAAAACCCUAAUUUCCUCCAUCUCCCAAUCAAAUUCUCAAUUUCUCUAUCUCUAUCUUUUUCUUGGUCUCCAAAACUGCUCUAUUUUGCUGUCUAAUCCUAUAUUUAGCUUAUUCUCACCAAAGUGUGGACUCAAAUCCACUCUUUCUCCCCAAAAAACCCAACAUUCUAGGGUUUCAUUGAACCUAGAAUCCCACUCCAAGCCAAAUUCUAUACCUGCUCAAAUGAUCUGAGAAGUCGCUGUUUUUUGUAAAACAGCGAGACAUACAGUAGCAAUGUCGGACGACAUGCUAAUACAUUUCUCGUCCAACUCCUCUAACCAGUCGGACCAGUCCCUGCCCACCAAGAUUGCCAAGCUCGAGGCCCGCAUGGUCAGCAAGGCCUCCUCGGCCCCGCCGGCUCAACAGCAGCAACAGCCGCCACCAGCGCCGCCACAGCAGCAGCAGCAGCCAACUUGGGCCUCUGUCUCUUCGGGGGCGGCUGCCAAAUUCGGAGGAACCGAGGAGUUGGCCGAGCCUUCCAGUUCGAGCGACUCCGACUACGAUAAUGGAGGGGGGUUUCUAAUACAAGCCAACACACAGAAGCGCCAGAAACUUCAAGAAGAUGACAACUCAACUGUUUUUGAAUGUGUUGAGAAUGGAGGGGAGUUUCUAAUACAAGCAAAUGCUCAAAAGAGCCAGAAACUUCAAGAAGAUAAUAACUCGACUGUAUAUGAGCAUGUUGAGGCAGUGGCUGAUGGGAGGCAAAUGGUUGUUGAAACCAUGGAAUCUAAGGCCAAUUCUGAAGUAAGUAGGAAAAAACAAGGUCGCGGAAGGGGGCAGUCUGUUUCUGGCCGGGGGCGUAAUUCUAGAAUUAAUGAUCAGAUAAGAUCACAAAAUUCUUCAACUGUUUCACCUUCAAAUGGCCAGUUUGAGAACUCAUAUCUUAAGGAUAGCAGGCCCAAAGAGCAGUUUCGGAGUGAUAAUCGCUCUCCAUUAGAGGAGGAGGUUGCAUCUCUUCGGGCAAAAGUUGCAGCACUAGAGGAGGACUUGCGAAAAUCACGUCAAGAGGCCUCUGAUUAUCAAAGUCUUUGCCGCCAGUUAGAAAAGGAACUGAAGGACCUCAAAGACUAUGAACAGCAAAUGAAGCCUAAGAGAACAAAAAUAAUAUCUGAUCUGUUGAUAGCUGUUUCAAAAGCUGAGAGACAGGAAGCUAGGUUGAAGGUGCGGCAGGACUCUUUGAGACUUGGCAAUGUGGGUGUAAUCAGAGCAGGAACCGUCAUAUCAGAGACAUGGGAAGAUGGACAAGUGCUAAAAGAUCUCAAUGCUCAUCUAAAGCAAUUACUUGAAGCCAAGGAGACCGUUGAGCGGCAGCGGAAAACAUUGAAGAAAAGACAGUCUGAUAAGGGCGACACAGUUGAUGCUGAAACAGGAGUGCAAGAAGAAGAUUUUCUCAUCCAAGAUGAGAUCUAUAAAUCCCGUCUAGCCAGCAUCAAACGUGAGGAGGAAGUUAUAAUGCGUGAGAGGGAUCGGUAUGAACUGGAGAAGGGAAGGCUCAUUCGUGAAAUGAAACGCAUAAGAGAUGAGGAUGGUUCUCGUUUUAAUAAUUUUCAGAUUCUUAACCAUAGAUAUGCCCUUCUAAACCUUCUCGGGAAAGGAGGAUUCAGCGAGGUUUACAAGCAGGCUUAUGACUUGGUAGAGCAUAGAUACGUUGCAUGUAAGCUUCAUGGUUUGAAUGCUCAGUGGAGUGAAGAGAAGAAGCAAAGUUACAUACGACAUGCAAUUCGGGAGUACAAUAUUCACAAGACCUUGGUGCAUCAUCACAUUGUUCAGCUUUGGGACACUUUUGAGAUUGAUCAGAAUACAUUCGGCACUGUCUUGGAGUACUGUAGUGGGAAAGAUCUUGAUGCUGUUCUUAAAGCAACUCCUGUAUUGCCUGAGAGGGAAGCAAGGAUAAUUAUCGUACAGAUAUUUCAAGGCCUUGUAUACUUGAACAAAAGAACACUGAAAAUUAUCCAUUAUGAUUUGAAGCCUGGAAAUGUUCUAAUUGAUGAGUUUGGCGUUGCAAAAGUGACUGAUUUUGGCCUUAGCAAGAUAGUGGAAGAUGACGUUGGAUCCCAGGGCAUGGAACUUACAUCCCAGGGAGCUGGAACAUAUUGGUAUUUGCCACCUGAAUGCUUCGAGCUCAGCAAGACACCUCUCAUAUCAUCAAAGGUUGAUGUUUGGUCGGCUGGUAUUCUGUUUUACCAAAUGCUUUUUGGCAGACGGCCUUUUGGGCAUGACCAGACCCAAGAGCGAAUACUGCGUGAAGACACAAUUAUCAAAGCGCGCAAGGUUGACUUUCCUUCUAGACCUGCUGUCUCAAAUGAGGCAAAGGAACUAAUUCGGCGAUGUCUAACAUAUAACCAAGCAGAGAGGCCAGAUGUUUUAACUAUUGCUCAAGACCCAUAUCUUACAUACGCAAAGAAGUAAUAAUGUACAGACACAGGUAAAGGAGCACACAGGGCAGGCAGUAAGUCCAGAGUCUCCGUUGUUCAACAUUGAAUGGAGAAAUUUAAGGCAAUACCUGUAUGGAAUUUUUUGUAUAGUUUGUAAAGGUUGUCGUUACUGUUUACCGGCGUUGUGGCAGGGGGUGUCUCCCGUGAUCCUGGUUGAUUGACCUGCUUUCAGAAAAAUGAAAAAAAAAAGAAAAAAAAAAAAAGAAAAAAGAAGAAGAAGAAGAAGAAGAAGAAGAAAAGGAAAGGUAGGUUUAUUUAAACGAAUUAAAUUGGGAUUUUUGUUUUUCAUGGUAAGUAAUGGGGGCAUAUUAAAAGUAAGCUCAACUCUUAUGAGGAUGUUGGGAACAAAAUUUAUUUUGCUCAUCGAGUAUUUUAGCCAGAAAGAAAA